GAUGAACGCUAGCGGGAGGCCUAACACAUGCAAGCCGAGCGGUAUUGUUUCUUCGGAAAUGAGAGAGCGGCGUACGGGUGCGUAACACGUGUGCAACCUGCCUUUAUCUGGGGGAUAGCCUUUCGAAAGGAAGAUUAAUACUCCAUAAUAUAUUGAACGGCAUCGUUUAAUAUUGAAAGCUCCGGCGGAUAGAGAUGGGCACGCGCAAGAUUAGCUAGUUGGUGAGGUAACGGCUCACCAAGGCGAUGAUCUUUAGGGGGCCUGAGAGGGUGAUCCCCCACACUGGUACUGAGACACGGACCAGACUCCUACGGGAGGCAGCAGUGAGGAAUAUUGGUCAAUGAGUGCAAGCCUGAACCAGCCAUCCCGCGUGAAGGACGACUGCCCUAUGGGUUGUAAACUUCUUUUGUAUAGGGAUAAACCUACCCUCGAGAGGGUAGCUGAAGGUACUAUACGAAUAAGCACCGGCUAACUCCGUG
rnacentral:rRNA from 1 species